GACCUUUUUAGUCUGUUUUUCUUGCUUUCUUUGCUAGAUUCUCUCUGUUGGAUUUGCUAAAGAUAGACAACCAUGCUUGGGUUAUGUUAAAAUUGAUGAUUCGGGAUUUAUGUGAGUUUGGUUGAUAAAUAAUGAGUUUUGUUGGAUUUUUUGUAUGAAAUCUACGUGGGUUUGAGCUGCAAGUUUGCAGCAGAAAAAUUGCAGAAGGAAACCUGUGAAUGAAUUCGGAACUUGCCAGUUUUCUCAUCUUAGAUUUCCUUUGUUUGCAUGUUUAAUCUUGUGUUUGAUGAGGGUCUAUGGAAUCUAAUGUGUUGGGUUUGAAGCUUUGUUUCAAAUUUUUGUAAGCUGCCUGGGUUACUAAAUGGCUUGAAGUUGCAGAAAUAAGAACAAGAAAGCUCGUGGCUUUGCAUGGGAUUUUCCAAAAAUUGCAUUUUAACCCCUCAAGCUCCCUAUAAUGCCACUAUGACCCAGAAAAUUGGAAAAUUAAUCAAUUUUACCCCUUUAACAUGUUAUUUUUCUUUGAUAUGAUUUAAUGUGAUUUUUGGAUAGAUUUUUAGUGAAUUUUAGGAUGAAAUUUGAGGUUUAAUAGUUUUUGAGAGAUUUAUGAUUUUGAUUUGGAUUUUUAGUGAAAUUUUGGGUAUUUUUGUUGUUUAAUUGUAACGAACGGUUUUUCAUUUAUUUUUUGUGAAUUUUAAUUUUGUUUUGGUAGGUUCCAUCUUAAGCCAUUAAUUUUAUUUUAUUUUAAUUUAGACCCUUAAUACUUGUCAUAAUAAUGAUUUGACCCCUCAAACUUCUUUAAUUCUUUCAAUUGGGUCCUUGUUUGUUUUAAUUUGUUGAAUAUGGGUUGUUUAUUUUUAUUUGAAUGAUUUGAUUGAUUCAAUUUCGUGUCUAUUUUCAUUUUCUUGUGAUUAUUUGUUAAUUAAAGUGAUGUCAUGACCUUUUUAUUGUUUUGGAGGGUAAAUAAGGGAAAGUUCAUUUCAUUAUAUCACCAAUUCAAGGGAGGUAUACUCUACCCUUUAUUUUGAUUUUACUUGAUCCUAUGUGCUCCUAUGUGACUUUAUGUGUGUAAUUACACACUUUUUGAAUGUUCUUUUAUUUUAUUUCAUCUAUUUAUUUAUUCAUUUCACUUGUUUUCAUUUUGUAUAUUCAUUUUACUUUAAUUUAGUUAUUUGAGGGGCAUUUAAAUGCCAAAUUGUAAUAGUUAGGUUAUUAUUUCAUUUCAUUUCAUUCUUUCCCCUUUUAGAUUGUAGUUAGGGUCCUCAAAUGUAAUAGUUAGGUCUUUAUUUGCUUUAUUUGCUUUGUGUGUUUUGCAUGCUUAUGUGUUUACGUGUUACUCGCUUUCUUAGGGUCUUGCAUCUAGAUAUUAUGCUUAUGUGCUAUGUGCUAUAUGUUAUAUGUGAUUUAUGUGUUUAUUUGCUUUUAUCAUGUUUUAUAUGAUUUAUUUGAUUAUAAUAAAUGCAUGACGUCACUACGCUAGUCCAACGCUAGUUAUGGCCCCCUUUUUUUCUAUUCCACACUAGUCCAAUGCUAGUUGUGGUCCUCUUUCCUGCUUUCUCGCUAAUCCAAUGCUAGUGAGAAUGUAUAGACAUGGGGUAGUUCAACACUAGGCCCUUAGAAACCGUUACGCGUUAGAUCAUGUUUUGUGUGACCAAUCACUACAUUUUCAUGCAUAUUUUCUAUCUUUUAGGGUUUUAUCAUUUUUGCAUGACAUUUCCCUUAUACGUAUAUCCCUUAUCCCCAUAUAUGAAACAUAACAUGUAGACUUGCAUUUCAUUUAAAAAUUAGAACUAGAUUAGAUCAUUCGCUUGACUAGAUAGGAAAUCCCCCUUGAAUAUGGGAUAUGGACGAGUGUGGCUCUUCAGCCUUAGCACGCUCGUAUUCCCUCUAUAAAAAGAGAAAAUUGAGUCAUGAAUUUUAGUUUUCCGCACCUGUUAUGAUGCAUUCCUUUAGGGCAUAAAUAUUUGUAUAUUAUUUUCUAUUUUUUUCAAGUCUUAUUGUUGCAUAUUCGUGACCUCUUCAAAGAAUUACUUUUGGGCGUCGCAAUUAAUGCGAUUUGCAUCAAUCAAGCUUUUGAAGAGAUAUUCCGACCCCCCGAUAUCCUUCUAGAUUUAGGUUUUGCAUCCAUAUAGUGACAUCCAAAUGUGAUAAAUUCUUAGGUUAGAAUAAGAAAUUUUUUUUUGACUAAAUCACGCAACUAGCCUUGGCUAGGUUGAAAGGGUGUCUUGGAUUUUAUCCUUACCUUCCCUUUCUUUAAAUAUGACUCCCGACCCCUUUUCUCUUGAUUUUCGCAAACUUGGAGUUGUUUAAAAAGGAUUUUCUCUACUUUUUCUUUAAAAAUUCAUUUUAGGUGACUUGGUACACCUUAACUCAAUACUAAGUGGUGACUCCUAUUUUUCAUUAAAAACCCUUUUUAAACUAUUAUUUUUGGGUCAAAAUUGUCGCACUUUUUAGUCCCAUCCUAGGCCCAUUUUCUUUAUUUAUUUUCUAAAAAUCAAAAACUCAUUUUUACUCAAAAUUAAUCAAAAAUUCAUUUCUUAUAAACACGUUAUUUUUUCAUUUAAAAAUGGGGCGCGACAACAGUAUUUCGACUUUUUGACUAGGAAAACUCAUGAAUUGGAUUUCGAUGUCUCAUAUGAAAUUUAUAACUAUGUGUUAGUUUCAAAAUGGUUCAAGAAUCACCUCAAUUUGAUACUUGUAGUUUAAGAUAUAGUUGAAAUACCAACAAGUGUCAAAGUUAUCAAACUCCCUUUCUUUUAUACUUUAUUGCAUUUCAUCUUUUGAGCAUUUGGCACUUCAUAUUCCCUUUAAAACACUAAAUAUCUUCUCAAUUAAUUCUAUUUGAUGAUUGAAUCAUUAAACCUACCAAAUAUGAAAUUUUUGCCAUUUUAAACCAUAGAAAUGCAAUUUUUGACACUUAAACCACAAAAUGUCAAUCUUCACUAAAAAUCUAGUUAAUUAGUUAUAAAAAUAACUAAAACACACAAAAUAUAAACUUAUCAGCCCCCCAUUCCCAAUUCUUUAAUGUGACCUUCUGGCUACCUGUAAGACUAUCUACUUCACCUCACAUUCAUAUUUCACCCCCAAUGUUUAGUCUAUAAAGAAAAAAUUAAUAAUCAAAGAAACCCUCAAACUUUUCUCACAUCUUUUGAUGUCAAGUGCUAUUGCUGCCACCAAUAUCCAAAGAUCAAGCAACUUCACCUCUCCACCAAACACCAUUAUAGCCACACUAUCUUCUUCUUUUUUUUUUAUCUCCAAAACCAGAAUUCCAUUGAUCCAAGCUCCCCCUACUCAUAAACUUCAUAAAUCCAAAUUUCUUUAUAUGUAAACUCUACUGUAAGUUUAAGGGGUUUUCAAGAAUUUCUUGAUAGGUAAAUCUGAUGAUAUUCUUGUUUUCUUCAACACUAGGAUAUAUCAAUUAUCCUAUUCCAAUAUGUUUUAAUAUUCAGAUUUUGUUAAUUGGGUUUGUGGGAGUAGAUAUUCAUUUUUUUGUCACAAUAAUCCUAUUCUUCAUCUGAUACCCUCUCCGGUGAAUCUCUUAAUUUCUAUUUUUCUGAUGAUUGAUAUAAAAAGACAUAAUUUUUAUUGCUUUGGGUUUAAUUGGAAUGUUAUUUGGUUGGAUCCAAUUAGAGAGUUGACAAGUCCAAUUGGGAAUGUUCAGUCUUAUGGAACUAUUGGGCUUGACUUUAAGUUGGCCCUACUGAUGAAUUAUUUAACUUGUCAUAUAUAGGGCUGCAACGAGCAGCUCGAGCCAGAGCUCAACUCGAACUUGGUCAACACCGAGGGCUAAUAUAUACGAAUUGAAUUUGAACAGUCAUUUAUUAGACUUGAUUGCUUGAUGAGCUGCUCGAAAAGUUCGAGUUGAUAUGAAAUUACAAAAAUGCCCCUACAUCAAUUAAAAUCGAG
rnacentral:lncRNA from 1 species